ACGAACGCUGGCGGCAUGCCUAACACAUGCAAGUCGAACGAGAUCUUCGGAUCUAGUGGCGCACGGGUGCGUAACGCGUGGGAAUCUACCCUUGGGUUCGGAAUAACAGUUGGAAACGACUGCUAAUACCGGAUGAUGACGUAAGUCCAAAGAUUUAUCGCCCAAGGAUGAGCCCGCGUAGGAUUAGCUAGUUGGUGAGGUAAAGGCUCACCAAGGCGACGAUCCUUAGCUGGUCUGAGAGGAUGAUCAGCCACACUGGGACUGAGACACGGCCCAGACUCCUACGGGAGGCAGCAGUGGGGAAUAUUGGACAAUGGGCGAAAGCCUGAUCCAGCAAUGCCGCGUGAGUGAUGAAGGCCUUAGGGUUGUAAAGCUCUUUUACCCGAGAUGAUAAUGACAGUAUCGGGAGAAUAAGCUCCGGCUAACUCCGU
rnacentral:rRNA from 1 species